UUAUCGCGUCGCUAGCGCAGUUUACUGUCAGCUGUUGGUGCGAGAACAGCACUUCGUGCAAUAUAGUCAGUAGUUAUUGCAUGAGUUAUUGCUUAACUCAGUUCUUUACUCUGUAAAAUCGAGAGUUACCUGCGAGUGAUAGUGAAAAUGCCAAUCAAAAAAAGCUUUUUUCAACAGAGAGGAUUAAGAUAUUGCGGCAUCCUAAUUGGAUGGUUGGUCUUCAUCCUGAAUUUCAUCCUGUUGACACUUUUGUUGCACGUAAGUGCUCUUGGAUUUUACAAUGCUUCAGAUUUUCAAGUGUUCUUGUUACUUGUGGUAAACUUUUGGGCGAUUUGUUGCUUUCUAUAUGGCGUUAUCCUCUAUAAACCGGUUUGUGCGCUAAUUGGGCUGAUUUGGUAUGGAUUUCUAAUGUGCUGCCUCAUAUAUUCAAUAACUCCGCAUAUUGACAUUGCCAUUACAAUAUUCAUUGUACUUCUCCUCAUUGUUUACGUGUUUGCUGUCCUCAGUUACAAACACGUGAAAUUGGCCACGAAGCACAUUCGAAUCAAUGCAAAUAGUCCACUUUCGAAUCUGUCAUACGUUGUAGUUGAUAGGGUAGAGGUAAAUAGUCUACCCACUUAUGCACAAGCAAUCCGACCGACAUGAUGUUUACCAUGGUGUUUGCCUUGAUGGAGAGACCAAGCAUAUUUAUAGCUAGAAUUUGGAAGUAACAUCUUUUCUGUGUAAUUGUUUUGUGCAUGAAUUGUUGAAGAUUAAAGCGAAUUUCUUUACAUUUUUUCUACAUAAA